rnacentral:lncRNA from 1 species
GACCUAGACUUCUUCAUUGGUGAUGAAGCAAUAGAAAAGCCCACAUAUGCAACAAAGUGGCCAAUUCGCCAUGGUAUAGUUGAAGACUGGGACUUAAUGGAAAGGUUUAUGGAGCAAGUGAUUUUUAAAUAUUUAAGGGCAGAACCUGAAGAUCAUUACUUUCUUUUGACUGAACCUCCACUGAAUACUCCAGAAAACAGGGAAUAUACUGCUGAAAUAAUGUUUGAAUCCUUCAAUG